CGUCGCUGUCGUGUGGGGGCAGUCGUCGUCCGCUGCAGCGGUCUUCCAAAAACGGUUCCACGAAACCCCUGCGCCGAGACUCCCGCACCGCCUCCCCUUGCUGGGUCCGAGAGGGUUCCGCUUACCAUGGCGUCGUGGGCCGCCGCCGCUUCUCCCUCCGCCCCUUUUCGUUUUCGCCGUCCUCUUGUGGAGGCGGUUUAGGGUUUUCCAAGGGGGGGGGUCCAGCCCGCCGCCGCCGACGCCGGCGGUGCGCCGGCCAGCCGCCGCCGCAGCCGCAGCCCUACUCCGACCGCUUCGAUUCCCGCCGCGAUUCCUUCUCUUCGCUCCGGCCUUGCGCUGGAUUUCGGCGUGGUGGUUCCCCUGCUUGGAGUGUCGCACGGCACCCUCGCUCUCUCUCCGCGCACCCAUCCCCAGACCCAGAUCCCGUCCUUCGUAUGCAGGCUCAUGUGUUGCUGGCCAUGGAGGUUGAAUGCUCCUCCUCGCUCACCUCUCCGUAGCGAAUCUGGUUUUCCUGGUGGCAGCGGCCUAAUGCUCAAGGUGGAUAUGGAUGACGGUGGUCCGGCACUCCGUCUCUUCCCACAACACCUUCCCGGCGGCCCCUUGCUCCGGUGUUCUGCUUGCCUGUCCAAUUUGUGCAGGUAUGUUAGAGCAUGGAGCUACCGGCUGGGUUAUCCAUUGUACCGUCGUGAGGACACACUAAAUUUUGUGACACCCCUUUUGCUAAGUCUUAUUUUUACAUGGACUAUCUGGAGCACCUCAGAGUCAGUGGUGUGAAUUGAGCUGCAGAAAUGUAGUUAUGUACUUAUGUCAUAGUCAGAUUAGUGUUAUGCCUACCUAUGCAUCAGAGACAAACUAAAUAAAUUGGCUAUUUUGUACAUGGAUAAGAAAUGAUGAUUGAGGUGCAAGACAGUGCAGCAACCAUAUGCAGCUAUGCGCUUUAUUCUUAUUGAUUAUUAAAUUAAGUCAUUAUGGAUUUUAUUACAUAUCUUUCUUUGCAGACUUUUACCCCAUGAAUUACAAUCCUAAUGAGCAAGAACCAUGAACAAGUUCCUUUUUUUAUGAUUUUUAGGUGCAGCCAUGAAAUUGGUAUGUGGUAUUAGUUUUGCCUUUCAUUCUAGAAGUUUGGCCCUUUGGAUCAAAGGUUCCUUUCCUUUCCUUUUCCCUUCUCAUUGCUGGCUCCCAUGCAUGUUCUUUGGUUUUAGGAAGUGAGGUGGUACUCUUGGUUUUCUUUAAUAUUCUAAAUGGCUACAAUUAUGAGACAAUGACAUAAAUUUUUUUAUCUCUGUACCAAAAGUAUCAAUAUCGUCUCAUGCUGUAAUAUGUUGUCUCUUCAACAAAUUGAGUACCGAUUCAUUUUCAGGUAUCAGUUCAGAGGAGACCGACCAACUAUAAAUGGCCUGGUGCCCGUACUUAUGCCGCUAUUUGUGCUUUUAUUAUUUACAUUUGUAAUUGACCUAUCUUUGUUUUGUCUCUACAAUGAAUGAUUGCAUAGCUUGCCAACAUCUUUGAGCUCUAUGGCUGUUGCAACUUGAUACCUAUGUGUCCUGUAUAUUAGUUUGGUCUACCAUAAAAAAAACUUGCUUUUUGUUA